GGGUUGUGAGGUUAAGCGACUAAGCGUACACGGUGGAUGCCCUGGCAGUCAGAGGCGAUGAAGGACGUGCUAAUCUGCGAAAAGCGUCGGUAAGGUGAUAUGAACCGUUAUAACCGGCGAUGUCCGAAUGGGGAAACCCAGUGUGAUUCGUCACACUAUCGUUAACUGAAUACAUAGGUUAACGAGGCGAACCGGGGGAACUGAAACAUCUAAGUACCCCGAGGAAAAGAAAUCAACCGAGAUUCCCCCAGUAGCGGCGAGCGAACGGGGAGCAGCCCAGAGUCUGAAUCAGCUUGUGUGUUAGUGGAACGGUCUGGAAAGUCCGACGGUACAGGGUGAUAGUCCCGUACACCAAAAUGCACAGGUUGUGAACUCGAAGAGUAGGGCGGGACACGUGGUAUCCUGUCUGAAUAUGGGGGGACCAUCCUCCAAGGCUAAAUACUCCUGACUGACCGAUAGUGAACCAGUACCGUGAGGAAAGGCGAAAAGAACCCCGGCGAGGGAGUGAAAAGAACCUGAAACCGUGUACGUACAAGCAGUGGGAGCACCUUCGGGUGUGACUGCGUACCUUUUGUAUAAUGGGUCAGCGACUUAUAUUCUGUAGCAAGGUUAACCGUAUAGGGAGCCGCAGGGAAACCGAGUCUUAACUGGGCGUUAAGUUGCAGGGUAUAGACCCGAAACCCGGUGAUCUAGCCAUGGGCAGGUUGAAGGUUGGGUAACACUAACUGGAGGACCGAACCGACUAAUGUUGAAAAAUUAGCGGAUGACUUGUGGCUGGGGGUGAAAGGCCAAUCAAACCGGGAGAUAGCUGGUUCUCCCCGAAAGCUAUUUAGGUAGCGCCUCGUGAAUUCAUCUUCGGGGGUAGAGCACUGUUUCGGCUAGGGGGUCAUCCCGACUUACCAACCCGAUGCAAACUACGAAUACCGAAGAAUGUUAUCACGGGAGACACACGGCGGGUGCUAACGUCCGUCGUGAAGAGGGAAACAACCCAGACCGCCAGCUAAGGUCCCAAAGUCAUGGUUAAGUGGGAAACGAUGUGGGAAGGCACAGACAGCCAGGAUGUUGGCUUAGAAGCAGCCAUCAUUUAAAGAAAGCGUAAUAGCUCACUGGUCGAGUCGGCCUGCGCGGAAGAUGUAACGGGGCUAAACCAUGCACCGAAGCUGCGGCAGCGACACUAUGUGUUGUUGGGUAGGGGAGCGUUCUGUAAGCCUGCGAAGGUGUGCUGUGAGGCAUGCUGGAGGUAUCAGAAGUGCGAAUGCUGACAUAAGUAACGAUAAAGCGGGUGAAAAGCCCGCUCGCCGGAAGACCAAGGGUUCCUGUCCAACGUUAAUCGGGGCAGGGUGAGUCGACCCCUAAGGCGAGGCCGAAAGGCGUAGUCGAUGGGAAACAGGUUAAUAUUCCUGUACUUGGUGUUACUGCGAAGGGGGGACGGAGAAGGCUAUGUUAGCCGGGCGACGGUUGUCCCGGUUUAAGCAUGUAGGCUGGUUGUCCAGGCAAAUCCGGAUAAUCAAGGCUGAGGUGUGAUGACGAGGCACUACGGUGCUGAAGUAACAAAUGCCCUGCUUCCAGGAAAAGCCUCUAAGCAUCAGGUAACAUCAAAUCGUACCCCAAACCGACACAGGUGGUCAGGUAGAGAAUACCAAGGCGCUUGAGAGAACUCGGGUGAAGGAACUAGGCAAAAUGGUGCCGUAACUUCGGGAGAAGGCACGCUGGUGUGUAGGUGAAGCCCCUGCGGGUGGAGCUGAGACCAGUCGAAGAUACCAGCUGGCUGCAACUGUUUAUUAAAAACACAGCACUGUGCAAACACGAAAGUGGACGUAUACGGUGUGACGCCUGCCCGGUGCCGGAAGGUUAAUUGAUGGGGUUAUCCGUAAGGAGAAGCUCUUGAUCGAAGCCCCGGUAAACGGCGGCCGUAACUAUAACGGUCCUAAGGUAGCGAAAUUCCUUGUCGGGUAAGUUCCGACCUGCACGAAUGGCGUAAUGAUGGCGGGCUGUCUCCACCCGAGACUCAGUGAAAUUGAACUCGCUGUGAAGAUGCAGUGUACCCGCGGCAAGACGGAAAGACCCCGUGAACCUUUACUAUAGCUUGACACUGAACAUUGAGCCUUGAUGUGUAGGAUAGGUGGGAGGCUUUGAAGCGUGGACGCCAGUCUGCGUGGAGCCAACCUUGAAAUACCACCCUUUAAUGUUUGAUGUUCUAACGUUGGCCCUUACCGGGGUUGCGGACAGUGUCUGGUGGGUAGUUUGACUGGGGCGGUCUCCUCCCAAAGCGUAACGGAGGAGCACGAAGGUUAGCUAAUCUGGUCGGACAUCAGGAGGUUAGUGCAAUGGCAUAAGCUAGCUUGACUGCGAGCGUGACGGCGCGAGCAGGUGCGAAAGCAGGUCAUAGUGAUCCGGUGGUUCUGAAUGGAAGGGCCAUCGCUCAACGGAUAAAAGGUACUCCGGGGAUAACAGGCUGAUACCGCCCAAGAGUUCAUAUCGACGGCGGUGUUUGGCACCUCGAUGUCGGCUCAUCACAUCCCGGGCUGAAGUAGGUCCCAAGGGUAUGGCUGUUCGCCAUUUAAAGUGGUACGCGAGCUGGGUUUAGAACGUCGUGAGACAGUUCGGUCCCUAUCUGCCGUGGGCGCUGGAGAAUUGAGGGGCUGCUCCUAGUACGAGAGGACCGGAGUGGACGCAUCACUGGUGUUCGGGUUGUCAUGCCAAUGGCACUGCCCGGUAGCUAAAUGCGGAAGAGAUAAGUGCUGAAAGCAUCUAAGCACGAAACUUGCCCCGAGAUGAGUUCUCCCUGAGACUUUAAGUCUCCUGAAGGAACGUUAAAGACGAUGACGUUGAUAGGCCGGGUGUGUAAGCGCAGCGAUGCGUUGAGCUAACCGGUACUAAUGAACCGUGAGGCUUAACCUUACAACGCCGAAG
rnacentral:rRNA from 1 species